UACGGAGGAUGCAAGCGUUAUCCGGAAUGAUUGGGCGUAAAGCGUCCGCAGGUGGCAAUGUAAGUCUGCUGUCAAAGCGUCUGGCUCAACCAGAUAAAGGCAGUGGAAACUACAUAGCUAGAGUAAGGUAGGGGUAGAGGGAAUUCCCGGUGUAGUGGUGAAAUGCGUAGAGAUCGGGAGGAACACCAGAGGCGAAAGCGGUUAACUGGGUCUAAACUGACGCUGAGGCGCGAAGGCUAGGGGAGCAAACAGG
rnacentral:rRNA from 1 species